GACGAACGCUUGCGGGAGGCCUAACACAUGCAAGCCGAGCGGUAUUAUUUCUUCCGAAAUGAGAGAGCGGCGUACGGGUGCGGAACACAUGUGCAACCUGCCUUUAUCUGGGGGAUAGCCUUUCGAAAGGAAGAUUAAUACUCCAUAACAUAUUGAUUGGCAUCAAUUAAUAUUGAAAGCUCCGGCGGAUAGAGAUGGGCACGCGCAAGAUUAGCUAGUUGGUGAGGUAACGGCUCACCAAGGCGAUGAUCUUUAGGGGGCCUGAGAGGGUGAUCCCCCACACUGGUACUGAGACACGGACCAGACUCCUACGGGAGGCAGCAGUGAGGAAUAUUGGUCAAUGGGUGCAAGCCUGAACCAGCCAUCCCGCGUGAAGGACGACUGCCCUAUGGGUUGUAAACUUCUUUUGUAUAGGGAUAAACCUACCCUCGUGAGGGUAGCUGAAGGUACUAUACGAAUAAGCACCGGCUAACUCCGUGCCAGCAGCCGCGGUAAUACGGAGGGUGCAAGCGUUAUCCGGAUUUAUUGGGUUUAAAGGGUCCGUAGGCGGACUUAUAAGUCAGUGGUGAAAGCCUGUCGCUAAACGAUAGAACUGCCAUUGAUACUGUAAGUCUUGAGUAUAUUUGAGGUAGCUGGAAUAAGUAGUGUAGCGGUGAAAUGCAUAGAUAUUACUUAGAACACCAAUUGCGAAGGCAGGUUACCAAGAUAUAACUGACGCUGAGGGACGAAGGCGUGGGGAGCGAACAGGAUUAGAUACCCUGGUAGUCCACGCCGUAAACGAUGCUAACUCGUUUUUGGGCUUUAGGGUUCAGAGACCAAGCGAAAGUGAUAAGUUAGCCACCUGGGGAGUACGCUCGCAAGAGUGAAACUCAAAGGAAUUGACGGGGGCCCGCACAAGCGGUGGAUUAUGUGGUUUAAUUCGAUGAUACGCGAGGAACCUUACCAAGACUUAAAUGGGAAUUGACAGCUUUAGAAAUAGAGCUUUCUUCGGACAAUUUUCAAGGUGCUGCAUGGUUGUCGUCAGCUCGUGCCGUGAGGUGUUAGGUUAAGUCCUGCAACGAGCGCAACCCCUGUCACUAGUUGCCAUCAUUCAGUUGGGGACUCUAGUGAGACUGCCUACGCAAGUAGAGAGGAGGGUGGGGAUGACGUCAAAUCAUCACGGCCCUUACGUCUUGGGCCACACACGUAAUACAAUGGCCGGUACAGAGGGCAGCUACACAGCGAUGUGAUGCAAAUCUCGAAAGCCGGUUUCAGUUCGGAUUGGAGUUUGCAGCUUGACUCUAUGAAGCUGGAAUCGCUAGUAAUCGCGCAUCAGCCAUGGCGCGGUGAAUACGUUCCCGGGCCU
rnacentral:rRNA from 1 species